ACUUUGUCCCUGACCUACUUGGAGAGCUCCUUGAUCUUCAUGGUGCCACUUGCUUAGUGGUGUUGCAGACUCUGGGGCCUUUCAGAACAGUCGACAGCUGCGGCUCCCGUCCGUACACGGUGGAGGCCUGGAUGCUGCUGUUGUGUGCGAGGAGAAUUACCUUCAGGUUGUUCUCCCACCCUUCCUGGUACCAAUCAAGGGACUUGCCCAUGGCAGUCUUAAGGGUCUAGUUGGUCCGUUCACCAAACCUGGAGGAGGGGGAGGAAAGCGAUAUCUAUUCACAAUCGUUCAUGACCUCGGUCACUCAAGAUGACCUCAGGAGAACCGUGGGUGUUGAAGAUGUCUACCAUCGCCUUGGAGGUUGCCUCGCCAGUCUCGUCCUUGAUGGGUAUCAUACAAAACGAAAAUAUAUUUUUGGUUCCAAGCACCCUUUUUAGUGGGUCAUGGAGGGAAUUUAGAGUUAUGCACAUACUCUUCCUUUACAGACCUUAAUGAGUAUUGCCUCCACCCACUUGGUAAAGUGAUCAGUCGCCGUCAGACACCAGCUGUUGCCAUUCCUGGAUUUCGUAAAGGGUCCGAUGAGGUCCACCCCUAACAUUUCAAGUGUUAGAGAGAAUAUUACUUUAUUAAUAUCGUAUCUGUGUCAUACAGUAUACAGAUUUUCAUGUUUGUAAGCAUACUGACACACACACAUUCUAUAAUAUUGAACUCUGCUGUGGUCAAAUAAAGCAACCAUUACAAAACAACUUAUCAAGGCAAAAUUUGAAUUGGGACACUUACCGAUCAUGUGCCAUGGUGAAACAACUUUGAUGGGCUUCAACUCCGGCGCAACAGUCUUCGCCCUCUCAAACUUCAGGCAGCCUAGACCUUUAAGUAAAAAGUGACAAAUUGGAACAUUGUGUGCUCUCUGAUAUGACAUUCAUUGAAAUCAUAAUCAUUUCAGAUAUAAUAGAAUGUGAUUGAUAAACAAAAGGUUAUUUCACUUGCCCAGCUGUCCACCUCCUUGACAAUUCCCAUCAGAAGGAGCGUAGGUUGAUUUUGGCAAUCACGCGCUUCACUCCGAAAUGGCCAGCAUGCAUCUCGGUCAGCACGGCCUCCUUCUCCUUCCCCCAUAGGUAGAAAUGAUUGCCUAACAAGUUGGAGGAGACCGCUUUACGGUCAGAUGCCGAGCAGUUUCAUCACCGCUUAGUAUGGCAACUACUCGGCAUCUGACCAUAAGACGUUACAGAGGGUAGCGCAUACGGCCCAGUACAGCACUGGGGACAAGAUUCCUGACAUCCAGGGCCUAUAUACCAGGCGGUGUCAGAAGGCCCCAAAAAUUGUCAGACUCCAGUCACCCAAGUCAUAGACUGUUCUCUCUGCUACCGCACGGCAAGUGGUACCGGAGCGCCAAGUCUGGGACCAAAA